rnacentral:rRNA from 1 species
CAAUAGCGUAUAUUUAAGUUGUUGCAGUUAAAAAGCUCGUAGUUGGAUUUCGGGUGUGAACGACCGGUCCGUCUUUGAUGUGUACUGGUUGGUUGCGCCUUAUUGUCGAGGACGUGGUUCUAGCUUUCAUUAGCCGGGACACGGAGUCGGCAGCGUUACUUUGAGAAAAUUAGAGUGUUCAAAGCAGGCUAUCGCUCUGAAUACUACAGCAUGGAAUAACACGAUAGGACUCCGAGCCUAUUCUGUUGGUCUUCGGGACCGGAGUAAUGAUUAAGAGGGACAGUUGGGGGCAUUCGUAUUCCGAUGUCAGAGGUGAAAUUCUUGGAUUAUCGGAAGACGAGCAUCCGCGAAAGCAUUUGCCAAGGAUGUUUUCAUUAA